GCUCUGUGAUGAGCCCAUGCGUGUCAUCUGAGCCUGGCUUCCCUGUCUUCUCAGCCCCGGGGAGUGUUCUGCUUCCCAGGGCUGUCAGCUGGCCUAGCGUGGCAGUUGCAGGCAAAGGAUCAACCUUCGUCUUCUGAGAGC
ensembl:snoRNA small nucleolar RNA SNORD10